AAGUCGUAACAAGGUUUCCGUAGGUGAACCUGCGGAAGGAUCAUUACCGAAUUGUCAAACGGGUUGUUGCUGGUCCUCAAACGGGGACACGUGCACGCUCUGUUUACACAUCCACUCACACCUGUGCACCCUCUGUAGUUCUAUGGUCUGGAGGACCCUGUCCUCCUGCUGUGGUUCUAUGUCUUUACACACACGCUGUAAUAAAGUCUUAUGGAAUGUAUGCCGCGUCUAACGCAAUACAAUACAACUUUCAGCAACGGAUCUCUUGGCUCUC
rnacentral:misc_RNA from 1 species